rnacentral:misc_RNA from 1 species
GGGGCACAUAGACAUUGAACAUAGCCCGGUAACCAUCAAUACGGCUAAAGCUUAAACCAGACAUAGUUGAAUAAACCAACAAUUAUACUCACUAAAGUAUCGACUUGGAGGUACAUAAUAUAACAAUUGCCUCACAUGAGCUAAUAAGAUCACAGGAAACAAAUGUCUAAUAAAACAUAUAAGUCUGCUGCAUAGGCAUGAACACAUGAAAGUAACUUGAGGCGGAUAGAUAUGAAUAGAUAUUACCCCUUUUUGAGCUCAACAAAGUCCAACCUCUUCAAACACAGCCCAUCUUUUCUUCCAAAUGUCGAAACAUCGUGCAAUGUUGCAGCCCCAUCUCGCCGCAAGGAAGAUUA